rnacentral:rRNA from 1 species
UCUGUGGGGGAUACCAGUUGGAAACGACUGUUAAUACCGCAUAAUAUCUGCGGAUUAAAGGUGGCCUUUGUGCUGCCGCAGAUGGAUGAGCCUGCGUUGGAUUAGCUAGUUGGUAGGGUAAGGGCCUACCAAGGCUACGAUCCAUAGCUGAUUUGAGAGGAUGAUCAGCCACAUUGGGACUGAGACACGGCCCAAACUCCUACGGGAGGCAGCAGUGGGGAAUAUUGGACAAUGGGGGAAACCCUGAUCCAGCAAUGCCAUGUGUGUGAAGAAGGCUCUAGGGUUGUAAAGCACUUUAGUUGGGGAGGAAAGCCUAUAAGUUAAUAGCUUGUAGGAAGGACGUUACCCAAAGAAUAAGGACCGGCUAACUCCGUGCCAGCAGCCGCGGUAAUACGGGGGGUCCGAGCGUUAAUCGGAAUUACUGGGCGUAAAGGGUCUGUAGGUGGUUUGUUAAGUCAGAUGUGAAAGCCCAGGGCUCAACCUUGGAACUGCAUUUGAUACUGGCAAACUAGAGUAUGGUAGAGGAAUGGGGAAUUUCUGGUGUAGCGGUGAAAUGCGUAGAGAUCAGAAGGAACACCAAUGGCGAAGGCAACAUUCUGGAUCAAUACUGACACUGAGGGACGAAAGCGUGGGGAUCAAACAGGAUUAGAUACCCUGGUAGUCCACGCUGUAAACGAUGAGUACUAGCUGUUGGAUUCGGUGUAAAGGAUCUAGUGGCGCAGCUAACGCGUUAAGUACUCCGCCUGGGGACUACGGCCGCAAGGCUAAAACUCAAAGGAAUUGACGGGGACCCGCACAAGCGGUGGAGCAUGUGGUUUAAUUCGAUGCAACGCGAAGAACCUUACCUGGUCUUGACAUCCUGCGAACUUUCUAGAGAUAGAUUGGUGCCUUCGGGAACGCAGUGACAGGUGCUGCACGGCUGUCGUCAGCUCGUGUUGUGAAAUGUUGGGUUAAGUCCCGCAACGAGCGCAACCCCUAUUGAUAGUUACCAUCAUUAAGUUGGGUACUCUAUUGAGACUGCCGCUGACAAGGCGGAGGAAGGUGGGGACGACGUCAAGUCAUCAUGGCCCUUACGACCAGGGCUACACACGUGCUACAAUGGGUAUUACAGAGGGCUGCGAAGGUGCGAGCUGGAGCGAAACUCAGAAAGGUACUCUUAGUCCGGAUUGCAGUCUGCAACUCGACUGCAUGAAGUCGGAAUCGCUAGUAAUCGCAGGUCAGAAUACUGCGGUGAAUACGUUCCCGGGUCUUGUACACACCGCCCGUCACACCA